UACGAACUGCGCGAACGUUAUUCGGAAUCACUGGGCGUAAAGGGCGCGUAGGCGGACUCUUAAGUCGGGGGUGAAAGCCCAGGGCUCAACCCUGGAAUUGCCUUCGAUACUGAGAGUCUUGAGUUCGGAAGAGGUUGGUGGAACUGCGAGUGUAGAGGUGAAAUUCGUAGAUAUUCGCAAGAACACCAGUGGCGAAGGCGGCCAACUGGUCCGAUACUGACGCUGAGGCGCGAAAGCGUGGGGAGCAAACAGG
rnacentral:rRNA from 1 species